rnacentral:rRNA from 1 species
GAUGAACGCUGGCGGCGUGCCUAAUACAUGCAAGUCGAGCGAAUGGAUUAAGAGCUUGCUCUUAUGAAGUUAGCGGCGGACGGGUGAGUAACACGUGGGUAACCUGCCCAUAAGACUGGGAUAACUCCGGGAAACCGGGGCUAAUACAGGAUAACAUUUUGAACCGCAUGGUUCGAAAUUGAAAGGCGGCUUCGGCUGUCACUUAUGGAUGGACCCGCGUCGCAUUAGCUAGUUGGUGAGGUAACGGCUCACCAAGGCAACGAUGCGUAGCCGACCUGAGAGGGUGAUCGGCCACACUGGGACUGAGACACGGCCCAGACUCCUACGGGAGGCAGCAGUAGGGAAUCUUCCGCAAUGGACGAAAGUCUGACGGAGCAACGCCGCGUGAGUGAUGAAGGCUUUCGGGUCGCAAAACUCUGUUGUUAGGGAAGAACAAGUGCUAGUUGAAUAAGCUGGCACCUUGACGGUACCUAACCAGAAAGCCACGGCUAACUACGUGCCAGCCGCCGCGGUAA